rnacentral:rRNA from 1 species
GAAUUUUGGACAAUGGGCGAAAGCCUGAUCCAGCAAUGCCGCGUGCAGGAUGAAGGCCUUCGGGUUGUAAACUGCUUUUGUACGGAACGAAAAGCUUUGGGUUAAUACCCUGGAUUCCAGACGGUACCGGAAGAAUCAGCACCGGCUAACUACGGGCAAGCAGCCGCGGUAAUACGGAGGGGGCAAUAGUGAAUCGGAAUUACUGGGCGUAAAGCGUGCGCAGGCGGUUUUGUAAGACAGAGGUGAAAUCCCCGGGCUCAACCUGGGAACUGCCUUUGUGACUGCAAGGCUAGAGUACGGCAGAGGGGGGUGGAAUUCCGCGUGUAGCAGUGAAAUGCGUAGAUAUGCGGAGGAACACCGAUGGCGAAGGCACCCCCCUGGGCCUGUACUGACGCUCAUGCACGAAAGCGUGGGGAGCAAACAG